UACGGAGGGUGCAAGCGUUAUCCGGAUUCACUGGGUUUAAAGGGUGCGUAGGCGGGCAUGUAAGUCCGUGGUGAAAUCUCCGAGCUUAACUCGGAAACUGCCAUGGAUACUAUGUGUCUUGAAUGUUGUGGAGGUGAGCGGAAUAUGUCAUGUAGCGGCGAAAUGCUUAGAUAUGACAUAGAACACCAAUUGCGAAGGCAGCUCACUACACAAAUAUUGACGCUGAGGCACGAAAGCGUGGGGAUCAAACAGG
rnacentral:rRNA from 1 species